AUUGAACGCUGGCGGCAGGCCUAACACAUGCAAGUCGAACGAGUGGCGGACGGGUGAGUAAUGUCUGGGAAUCUGCCUGAUGGAGGGGGAUAACUACUGGAAACGGUAGCUAAUACCGCAUACUAUCGGAUGUACCCAUAUGGGAUUAGCUAGUUGGUGGGGUAACGGCUCACCUAGGCGACGAUCACUAGCUGGUCUGAGAGGAUGAUCAGCCACACUGGAACUGAGACACGGUCCAGACUCUUACGGGAGGAAGCAGUGGGGAAUAUUGCACAAUGGGCGCAAGCCUGAUGCAGCCAUGCCGCGUGUAUGAAGAAGGCCUUAGGGUUGUAAAGUACUUUCAGCGGGGAGGCGUUACCCGCAGAAGAAGCACCGGCUAACUCCGUGCCAGCAGCCGCGGUAAUAC
rnacentral:rRNA from 1 species